CCAGAAGAGAAAUUACACCAGGUAGGAACGGAAAACUAACAUAUUAAGACUCAUUAGAAAGAAAACAUUGUUAUAAGUUGGAAUUCACAGUGGACUGGGAAAAUAUGUUAUAUGCUCCUGCCAUGGGUGUUCGCUCAGUCCUUCUUCUGCAUCAAGAUUCUGUGAACAACGGAGCCCAAGCACAGGUACUCUGGCAAGUGACUCUGCCUUGCCACAGUUCUGACCUAGGAGGGACCUUACCCUGACCCCACCAUUGAGGAUUCUGUAGCAGAAAUGAAGUUGCUGAAACAUUAUAAAUGUUUGUUUACCAGUUUAUUGACUUCUGGGUGCUUCUGUUUAACCUGACUUAAUUGUAACAUAUGUAAUUUGGUUUUGUGUAUUUCUCAAACAUGAAUAUCCAGAUUUCUAGGAGCCAAUUAGUCUGAUGGCACAGUACAAGAAAACAGCUGUUUGUAAUAAACUUUCUCAUUGAAAUCC
rnacentral:lncRNA from 1 species